rnacentral:other from 1 species
UGCGAUCUGCGCCUCUCGACAGGAUCUCGAACCCUGGGGCCUUAAUUGAUCCAAAGGGAGCUGUCCCUGACCGGACCCGUGGGUCCGGACAUAUGGCGCCCACCUACGUUGUAGGUUCCCAGGAUCAAUACAUCCAUCGGUUGCCGUGGAUCGCAC